rnacentral:rRNA from 1 species
CCGGAUGUUAGCGGCGGACGGGUGAGUAACACGUGGGUAACCUGCCUGUAAGACUGGGAUAACUCCGGGAAACCGGAGCUAAUACCGGAUAGUUCCUUGAACCGCAUGGUUCAAGGAUGAAAGACGGUUUCGGCUGUCACUUACAGAUGGACCCGCGGCGCAUUAGCUAGUUGGUGGGGUAAUGGCUCACCAAGGCGACGAUGCGUAGCCGACCUGAGAGGGUGAUCGGCCACACUGGGACUGAGACACGGCCCAGACUCCUACGGGAGGCAGCAGUAGGGAAUCUUCCGCAAUGGACGAAAGUCUGACGGAGCAACGCCGCGUGAGUGAUGAAGGUUUUCGGAUCGUAAAGCUCUGUUGUUAGGGAAGAACAAGUGCGAGAGUAACUGCUCGCACCUUGACGGUACCUAACCAGAAAGCCACGGCUAACUACGUGCCAGCAGCCGCGGUAAUACGUAGGUGGCAAGCGUUGUCCGGAAUUAUUGGGCGUAAAGGGCUCGCAGGCGGUUUCUUAAGUCUGAUGUGAAAGCCCCCGGCUCAACCGGGGAGGGUCAUUGGAAACUGGGAAACUUGAGUGCAGAAGAGGAGAGUGGAAUUCCACGUGUAGCGGUGAAAUGCGUAGAGAUGUGGAGGAACACCAGUGGCGAAGGCGACUCUCUGGUCUGUAACUGACGC